rnacentral:rRNA from 1 species
UACAGAGGUCUCAAGCGUUGUUCGGAUUCAUUGGGCGUAAAGGGUGCGUAGGCGGCGCGGUAAGUCGGGUGUGAAAUCUCGGAGCUUAACUCCGAAACUGCAUCCGAUACUGCCGUGCUUGAGGACUGGAGAGGAGACUGGAAUUUACGGUGUAGCGGUGAAAUGCGCAGAUAUCAGGAGGAACACCGGUGGCGAAGGCGGGUCUCUGGGCCGAUAUUGACGCUGAGGAGCGAAAGCGUGGGGAGCGAACAGG